GCUUGCUUCAGCAGCCCUAUACUAAAAUUGGAACUAUACAGAGAAAGUUAGUAUGAGCCCUGCAUAAGGAUGAAACAUAAUUCAUGAAGUGUUCCAUAUUUUU